GACGAACGCUGGCGGCGUGCUUAACACAUGCAAGUCGAACGGAAAGGCCCUGCUUUUGUGGGGUGCUCGAGUGGCGAACGGGUGAGUAACACGUGAGUAACCUGCCCUUGACUUUGGGAUAACUUCAGGAAACUGGGGCUAAUACCGGAUAGGAGCUCCUGCUGCAUGGUGGGGGUUGGAAAGUUUCGGCGGUUGGGGAUGGACUCGCGGCUUAUCAGCUUGUUGGUGGGGUAGUGGCUUACCAAGGCUUUGACGGGUAGCCGGCCUGGGAGGGUGACCGGCCACAUUGGGCCUGCGAUACGGCCCAGACUCCUACGGGCGGCAGCAGUGGGGAAUAUUGCGCAGUGGGCGGAAGCCUGAUGCAGAGACGCCGCGUGCGGGAUGACGGCCUUCGGGUUGUAAACAGCUUUCGACUUAGACGAAGCCUGAGUGACGGUAAUGGGUAAAGAAGCACCGGCUAACUACGUG
rnacentral:rRNA from 1 species